GAUUCAAGUGUUCAUGAUCCACAACAAAUGCUUUACUAGGAUCGUUUUCCAACAACAUUUGGAUUCGACGAUCAUUCUACUCAUUCCGCUCGUGGCUAGAUCUUGAGUUGUUAGCUAUUGUUGGAUCCGACGACCAUUCUACGCAUCCCUCUCAUUGCUAGAUAUUGAGUUGAUAUCUACGUUGGUGAG